rnacentral:tRNA from 1 species
GGAGAGAUGGCUCAGUGGUUAAGAGCACUGACUGCUCUUCCAGAGGUCCCGAGUUCAAUUCCCAGCAACCACA